GUGGAAGAUUCAGUGAGCCGAGAUUGUGCCACUGCACUCCAGCCUGAGUGAUAGAGCAAGACUCUGCCUCAAAACAAAAAAAAAAAAAGUGAGAAAAAAAAUAGUUUACCAAGGACCUCUUAGUAAAACACUAAAUUUCCAGUCCAUUUUUUGUGUCUCUAAAAUCUGCUGUAAACAAAUGGUUCUGUGAACUCGUUCUUACCUAGUAUAAAGUUAUGGUAAAAUUACAGUGGAUAGACCCUGUUGAAAAUUUCUGUUGGCCACUCAUUUUGGCAAACCUAUACAGGUUUGUUCAUUCAGUGAGUACUUUUAGAACAUCUACUACAUUUCAGGCGUAGCUAUUGAUACUGCAGAUAGAGACAAUAAGAGGAAGUCCUUGCCCUCAUCGAGCUUACAUUCUCAUGGGGGAAGCAGACAAAAAAGAAGUACUAUGUUUUAUCAUAAAAUUAUUAUAUAAUUUCUAAAAAGCACAAUAAGAAAAAAGAUGAAUUAAGAAAGAGUAAAGGGAGGUGCUAUUUCAGACAUGGCUCAAUUAAGCUUAAAGUGUACAUAUACUGUUGGUACCAUAUAUGGUUAAAAUAAUUCAAUUCCAUCAACAGCUGCAUUGUUAAAUGCCAACAGAUUACAUACAAACUACAGCCUUGCUGGUUUUGCCAAGAGUAGCUUGACUAAACAAGAAUCCACCAAUAUUAGCAAAGCAUGUUUGAUUCCAUAGAUACCAGAAAAAAGUUUGGUAAUUAAGUCUGCUUAGUAGCCAGACUUGUAAAAAGUGCUGACAGUGUUAGUUUUCAUUUUGUGUGAUAGAUAAAGCCAACCUAGUUGUUGUCCCUGUACGUUUGUUUUUGCGCCUAAUGUAUGACAAAGAUUAAUUGAGAUCCACACUUCAUUGUUAUUCAGGAAUGUAGGAAUGAUUGCUACAUCUUAGUCUGUAGCUAGAGAAGAAUCACCAUUUAUGGUACCCAUCAGAGGAGUGUGUCCCACUACAUGCUUAUCUAAGAGUUCUACACAUUCUUAAAUAAUCUUAACUACACAAUCAUAUCAAUAUGAUUUCAUGUAACCAUUUGUCUCGGUUUACGUUUUAAGAUUUUUACAUUUUACUAUAUGUUUUACCUUUUAAGAUACAUUUUACAUUGUAAGAUACAUUUGAGAUUUUAUCUACUGAAUCAGAGUUCAUCAUCAAUCCUUAAUCUGGGAGAAAAAGUUUGAGGGAGUUAAUGGAAAUCAGUCAUUCUAAGAGGGCCAUGCUUAUUCUAGGAUCCUUUGGUUACAAGGUAAGCAGAGUGCAGGAUUUGUGUCCUGGUUCUCUCUCUUAGUAAACUUGCUUGGACCUUCGGCAGCCUUUCUGGUCAGAAAGACAACUGCUGACCAGAUACCUACAUUUUCUUUAUUCACCUUUCUCGUCUACUAUACACAACCUGAUUAGUUUUUUUCUAUAAAUAUUUGAAUAUUUGUAUUUGAAAUCUUUUUAACAUUGCAUAGAUUAAAACUUUUUAUUACUUGUUUUAGAAAAAAGAUGAAAAUGAUUUUUAUUGUCAUAAUUUAUAUGCACUGUAUUUGUGUUUUGGUUGCAAAUUUCAAUAAAUCUGCUAAAAAACAAACAAAAAAAAUCAUGAACACCAAUAAGUGGUUAAUCUAAUUUCAAGCCGUUAGCAGCAGUAGAUUUCCUCUAUGGAGGUUCUGGCUGAACUCUUCCUAAACUCAAGGAAAACAGGGCUUGUCACCCUUUGCCAGUGCCUUUCCCAGCCUAAAACGGACAUGGCAGGCUUUCUGCAGAUCAAAACUGGGAAAUAAAUUGUAAAAACAAAGCACUUCAUAAGUGCCCACAAAAAUAAUGGAAUGUUCUCUCUUUUUUCACUGGAAACCACUGAAGGGAACCAGUCUUUGGUGAAAAGGAUCUCUCUGACCUGUACCUCCCCUUAAAUUUCCCACACCCUCUUCCUCUCUUCCUAGGCAAUACCAUUUAAAAAGAGCCAGAGGGCUUUUUCAGUUCUGAAAUAUAGAUGCAGAAGUUAAGAGUGAGAGGGUUCUAGAACCCGCCUGCCUGGGUUGAAAUGCCACCUGUGCAAUCCUGAGCACGUUCUUUAAACUCAUCUUGAAAAUGGGGUAAAAAAAAAAAAAAGUAGCAUUUGUCUCAUAGGGAUUAUUUGAGCAUUAAAUGGGUUAAUGCAUACAUAAUGUUGAGAACAGCACCUGGCACACAGUGUGCAAUGCAUUUUAGAUACAGUGGUUACUCUAUAAAUUUGCUGCUCUGCCACCCCUCCUUGUCAUUUCCUAUGGAGUUGAUUUUCUGAGGUUUUAAGCAGGAGAAUAAUAUAAAAGUGAUGCAUAGAAAAAUCAAUCUGGUUACAGAACACAAGGUAGGUUGAGGAGAAGAAGAAAAGAUCUUUUGUUGCAAAACAAGAAGAGGUUUCCCAAUUCCAAAAAACUCAAAAUAUGUCUUGAUCAGAUAGCUUUGUUGGUGCUUUCUUUUCUAUUCUACUUUGAAUUAUUUGUGAAGCCCAUUAAAGUUUCAACGGAAUACAUGGUUUUCCAUCUCCAGUCAACUUUGUUCUAAUUAGGGAUGUGACAGUCCAUUCUAAGCAUUUUCAUACAGAUAUUUUAAAAUGAGAUCUUUUUCAGAAUCUUCUUUUACAAGCAGAAAAGCUUUUGCAAAAAUCUUUAAGUAAGAAAAGGAAUCCAGACCCAAAGUUUCUGACCAGGCAUCCUACAGGGAUGCCCUCUGGACUAAAGUUCCAUUUACUUUUUACCUAAUUUCCAAAAGUACCAGGAAUCUUUUUGUUCAGUGUCACUGGUUCUCAGGAGAACGAGGCAAAGCAUCUUCCCUGGUGAACCAGCCCUACUUCCUUCUAUUCGUAUUUCCCGAUGCAUUUGCCUUCUCAGAAUUAUGCUGUGGGAUCACCACAGUAUCAAAUCUCAGUGUUCACCUGAAAUAUCAUGAUGGGAAAGAAGUUGUUGACUAUGUUACCAAAUUUCAGAUAAGUGAGCACUUUUAUUUCUACUUAAAGAAUAAUUCAACACAUUCUUGAAAUGAAUUAGGAUCUAAUACUUGAGUAACCUAUGUUUAUGGAGCAGAACACAGGGAGUAGACAAUGAGGUGAGAUGAGCAGGAAUAAAUCCUAUUUAUCUGAUUCUUAUCCUCACUAUUGAAAGUCCUGCUGCUCCCUGCAAAAUAGUCUCCAAUUAUGUCUAGGGUGCCCUAUGGGGUGCACCUAUGCAUCAUUUGCCUCGUGGCAUCUGCCACUUUCUUCUGUUUUUUUCUUCAGCAUCAUUUGGUGCUGAUGAUCUUCACUGCUGCCCCAUGUGAGAUGUAGGUGCCCCUCCUACCUGGGAGCCUCCAAUGGAGCAAAGGAGUGAAACAGUCUUGGAAACUUCAAUAAGUCAAAGUUACACUGUGUAGGGUAUAGACGGAAGGAGAAAGUAGAUCCUUUCCACCAUGUGUUGCACUUUGUGACACAGAUCCCAAAACGGGUGUUUCUCUGCAGUUUCUUAGUGAAAGUUGCUCUUUUGAAUGUUUUAAAAUUUGAAAUUCUCAUCCCAGCCCAGGGGCUAGACUUGAGGACAAAUUUUGAGUACCAUAUACUCAAACACUAAAACACUAUUUUUGAACCAAACCCAAGUGCUGAAUUCUCUCUUCUAAAAUGAGGUUCUCCCAGAAGUUCUCUUCGUCCUUAGUCCUGCACAUAAACAGAUUCAGGGCAGAAAUCUCAGGUGUUAGCACUGUUUGGGUUCAACCUGGGACUACAAAUAUAAUUAUAUACAUAAUACAUAAUAUACAUAUUGCCUAUUCUACCUUUAUAGAAGUGCUGUAUCACAAGCUUUGAUAGUUCUUGUUCUUUUUUAGUUUUAAAGCGGUUAUGUAAAAUUACCAGCUUUACUGUAGCUUUGGUGAAAGUAUAUUAGAUUUAGUUGAUUUUUUGCAACUCCUUUCUAUCCUGGGAAAGCUGUCUUCUCUGUACCUUAGGUCACUCGAUUUUUUUUAAAUUCAGAAAAUUGCAGUGGAACAAAACUUUCAUGUAGAGCUUCCAAGUAAACUUGGGAAUCAA